rnacentral:piRNA from 1 species
UGACAUGAAUGUGGAUGCAGGAACCCU